GAUGAAGAACGUAGCAAAAUGCGAUAAGUAAUGUGAAUUGCAGAAUUCAGUGAAUCAUCGAAUCUUUGAACGCACAUUGCGCCCGCUGGUAUUCCGGCGGGCAUGCCUGUUCGAGCGUCAUUUCAACCCUCAAGCCCCCGGGUUUGGUGUUGGGGAUCGGCUCUGCCCUUCUGGGCGGUGCCGCCCCCGAAAUACAUUGGCGGUCUCGCUGCAGCCUCCAUUGCGUAGUAGCUAACACCUCGCAACUGGAACGCGGCGCGGCCAUGCCGUAAAACCCCAACUUCUGAAUGUUGACCUCGGAUCAGGUAGGAAUACCCGCUGAACUUAAGCAUAUCAAUAAGCGGGGA
rnacentral:misc_RNA from 1 species